CGCCGUGCGCAAGCUCACGCCGCUACCCCACGCUAGCUGCCUCAGGCCAUGGAGGAUCUGGUGCGGGCUACCAUUUUAGUACUAUUUAGUCCCUUCAACCAAACAGGCUAUGACUAAAAAGGACUAAUGUUUUAGUCUUGGGGCUAAACUUUAGUCCUAGUCCUGGGACUAAUGUAUCCUUAGUUCCUAACUUUUUUUUCAAACUUACAACUUUUUCAUCACAUCGAAACUUUACUAUACACACAAAUUUCUAAUCUUUCCAUCACAACAUUCCAAUUUCAAUCAAACUUUUAAUUUUGAUGUGAACUAAAUAGAACAUCCGCAGAGCAGUACUGGAGGAGGGUGGAGGAGAUCGGAAGGCUCGGCAAGUGGCUGGCCACCGAGGACGAGCAUGCAUGGUAAGAGGCUAAGAGCAUCAAUGACGCUUCAUGGCGACCAGAGAUGAGGGUAUCAGCGGCUGCCGUGCUCCUGGUUCUAUUUGCCAUUCAUUUUGCCUCUAAGACUGAUUCUCUGCAGUGCAUGCUGGAAUGCUGGGUGCUGCCGCAAACUUAAUUCGUGUUAUGGGAGACUCGGUCGGCCCACGACGGUGAAUGGAUUAAUUAACCUCACGAAGCUAGUAUCUAGAUCAGCAUCGACAGCUGGUGAGUCUUGGGAAGAAGAAAACGGCGGGUGGCGAGCUUCAUCACCGCCUUCUCGGCCCUGUUCACUUUAAUGUCAUUUUAAACCUUAUCAAUUUCUGGCAAUACCAAAAUUUUAGUAAGGUUGGCAAUAUUAUCAAAUUUUGGUAAGAUAGCUAUUUUGGAUGUGCUUACUUUGUUGCCAACGUACAUGCUACUAAAUUUUGGUCAUUACUGUGUAG
rnacentral:lncRNA from 1 species